UAUUUUGACUAUACAAAGGUAUUGUAAUAAGACUUUAAUUGAGUGCUAAAAGAAUGGACUUUCAAAAACCCGCUUUUUUAAAUUUAAAAAUUAAAGUUAUUUUUAUCUGUGAAGAAACAAUAAUAAAAAUUAAAGACAAGAAGACCCUAUGAAUUUUAAUUAAUUUAUUAUUAAAUUUAAUAAUAAAUUAAUUUAAUUGGGGCGAUUAAAAAAAAUGAAAAACUUUUUGCUUUUAAAAAUGAUCCAUUAAUAAUGACUUUAUGGAAAAAAUACUCUAGGGAUAACAGCGUAAUAAUUUUAGAUAGAUCUUAUAGAAAAAAUAGUUUGCGACCUCGAUGUUGGAUUAGGAUACUUAUUUAAUGAAGAAGUUAAAAAUAAGAAGUUUGUUCAACUUUUAAAAUCC
rnacentral:rRNA from 1 species